UUUGAAAGUUCCACAGAGGUCUAUAACUGUCUCUCAGAACCUCUGCACCUAGACUUAACCUAACACCAAACCAACUAACCCUAGAUUCAGUACCUUUAAGAUCACCACUGAAAUAAAUGUCAUUUACAGAGAUCCCCCUACCACUACAUUUGUUGGAUCUCCUUUAUAAGAAGGAAGAAGGAAGGAGAAAGUUCUGGAAUGAGACAGUAUUGUUUGGAAAUCUGGGAACUACAAACAGCACCAGGAGGGUUUACCAUUAUUAGAUUUUGUUGCAUUUUCUUAUGGCAAAGUAAAGGUUAAGCAAAACCAGUGACCAUGUCUGACAGUGUAUGUAAUGUUUUGUAGCUGUAAUGCCUAACUCUCUUCAGAAAGGACAGAAAUGAUCUCAUCUUUUUUUAUGAGGCCAAGAUUAGUAAUUAAAAUCACAUCAU
rnacentral:lncRNA from 1 species